UGCAUAUAAGCACUACCCUCCACUCCACCUGCAUUUCCCACUUCGCAGCUAAGCUGAAAGAAGGCGCAAAGCCAAAGGAGAGAUGAAUGGAUGACAGCUGGCAAUGAGAGAUGUUAGUCAAAUUCCACAGGAUUAAGUAGUUGUGAAUCAGAGGUGUCAAGGUCCACUCCCAAGAUUCCAAAUAGCAGCUCUUAGUCUUGCAAGAAAAUUUAGCCAGGAGAAGGAUAAGUGAGAGGCCUAUCAGAAGACAGAGGAAGUCGUUAUUCCUAGCAGAAGGGGAAAUUAGUUCUUGGGAUUCCCUCACUGUAAUGACUGACUGUUUUGUCGGCCAGGAUUGGAUUAACCUAAGGGUAUUCAGAGAUCUAUGUAUCUCACUGGGUCAUCUGUAUUUUACUGAGGAAUAGGAAGAUUAACUGCAGGCACCAGACUGGUCGUCCCACUUAACGUAACCCUGGAAAGUUCCUCUCGCAUUCCAGAAACUACUCAGCCUCUGUGAAGUUUGCCUAUCUGUCUGGCAAAAGACAGUUCAGGUCGUGUUUUUCACAAGCAAUAGAAAAAGCCAGUUUCAACAAAGCUAGGAGUUUGUCCUAAGAAUCUGGAGUUACUUAAGAGAUAUUUCAACAACCUGUGUCUUCAGUAAGGCUCCCCGGAAACAGACGCCUAAACAGAGAGAUGCAUGCCGGGUGCUGUGGUUUUUUGUUUUGUUUUGGUGGGGGGUGCUCUAAGAAACAACACCUGUAGGGGGAGUAAGGGAAACAGACUUGGGCAGAGGAAGAAGUUGAACUUUGAUGCCGUUGUAUUCAGCUAAGCCUACAGGGUGCUGGAUAUCAGUGUAAAAUGGUCUCCAGUAAAAGGAGCUGGGGGCCUUUUUAGGGAAGUAGAACAAAUGGACUGCUACACCUGGAAACCUAAGCCAGCAGCCUGGAAUUACAGGCAUUGCACACAAAAGUGAGGGAAGUUUUCCUGUAGGAUACACUCACAAAUAUGCCUACCUUGAUUUAAUCCUACAGGGGUCUAAACGUCUUAUUCGUAAAAUUUGUCAAGCCCUUGGAAGAAGAGAGUUGGUGUCUGCUUUUCCAUCAACUUGUAAAUUCCUGGAGAGGAGGACCUCAAGACAUUCUCCCUUGUUUUCUUCACAGCCAGGGAUGAUAUUGAAGAUAGUUAACACCCAGUGCAGCACAGGCACCAACCAACUCAAAUGGACGCUGGUCUUAGGCAAUUUGUAUGGCUAUACUAGUGGAUACAGCUGAAUAUUUGUUCUGCACACGGAAGGCAUCCAAUAAAAGAUCGUUGGAUUGAAUUUCAUUGGUUUGGUCAUCAUGGCCUUGCCACCUUUGUUCCAGAUAAAUGGAUCUGUAUGAGAGAAGCAGCUCUGGCACAUGCACACUUGCGGAUGCCGUUCAUCUGCUUUUCUCCUGGGACUACCAGGAAAUAAAUUAGCUAUCAGAUCAGAGCAAACCAAAAUUUAAAAGAUCAUAAAUGAAAAAUGAAUGUGUUGUUAUUUGACUUUUUUGUAUCGUUAUUCAUAGAUUUUCUUAAAGUAAUAAUCAGAGAACAUCAUCAACUAAAAUAUGUUUAUAACCCAAGUCAGUGACGAACUUGGUAAACACGGCAGAAUUACGCCCUCUCUUAAUUAGCCUUUGGGGAGACACCAAGUUUUGAACCACUGCUUGUAGCUCUGGGAAUCUUCUAAGAAGCAGGAGUAGAUUAACCUCUAGAAGAGAAAUAUGCCAAAAGCUGAUUUUCACAUAUGACUUGGUGAGUCUUAAACAGAAACAGGCUAACAUGCCAAAUAUGACCAGCUGAGAAGUAUCAACAUCAAAGGCAGAAAUCAUAAACUAUUUGACACAAACAUAUUAAAAAGUUUUACAUCAAGAAAUUAUAAAAAACAAAAUUUAAGACAGGUGACAAAUUUUAAAAUAUUGCUGCAUAUGUGACAGAGCUGAUAUCAUUAAUAUAUGAGAAAUUCUUACAGAUCAGUAAGAAAAAAAUGCCUCAGUAGAAAAAUGACCAAAGGAUAAGCAAGUCACAAAACAAAAAAUAAAAAAGGCUGAUAAACAUUUAGUGUCUAGAAUAGUGCCUGUC
rnacentral:lncRNA from 1 species